CCAGGAGGCGGGACAGGGGGCGGGCAUGGACACGCGAUCAGAUUCGCUACCGCAGAGCUCUAGCUCCGGAGCGCGCCAAGUUGAAGGCCAAAGUCGAGGUUGGGAUGCCCGAUGCCUGGCGCGGGGAGACGGAGGAAGCAAAGUGCUGCUGCCUGGUGGAAAUACAGUAUUAUAUAAUGACAUGCUACUAUGCAUCUCUACCUAACUCCUCGUCUGGUGAUGCCAUAUUGAAAUCAGCCAUACUGAGAGUAUUUACACACUGCUGAAGUCAGUAAAUGCUACAAAUCAAGGCUUGAAUGUAACCUACAUGAGAAAGAGUUGCCUUGCUCACUGCCGUAUCCCAGUAUCCCAAGAACCUUGGAGAUGCUCUAUGAAUACUGAAUGAAUCUGAGAGGAAACUAGCCCGAAGGGGGAAGGCUCUGGAAGCAAGCCCUCAUGGACCAACGGAGAGUGAGUGUCAUCAUUUUAUGUUUUCUCCAAAUCUUGUAAACAAUGUGUUUUAGUCUUAGCCUGUCAUAUGCAGCUGAAAUCUGGGGCAAAUAAAAUCACAUAGAUGCAUGUGGCUCUGUGUUAUUAUUACAGGCAAGCGAGGUAAAAUUGAAGGAUGCAAACUUGAAGGGCGUAUCACUCUCAGAUUCAUGUAAGUGCAGGGUCAGCCCCGAGAGUGGGCACCUCCUUACAUUUUGUGCCCUGGGAUUCUCCCUUGCUUUACCUUAGCCUUGAUUCUACAGCAGGUCUCUUCCAGGAACUCCCAAUUCCACAGCCUAAUGGACAUCUCCAACUCUAGCAGCUGCUUCUUUCAGACACAGCCAGAGAGCAGCAUAUACAAGAGAAUGCUUAGCUGAGGCAAAGUUUUAUUCACUCUGUCUAGCUUAGAGACAUAAUAAACUCCAGGGGCUGAAUGACGGCUCUAAAUGCUGAGAGAUAGGCCAAAGCAGUAAGAAGGAGGCAUUACUUAUUUUAGAAUAAGCGCCAUGUCAUUACCUUAUUGCUGAAAUCUUGAAGCUCAGGUGUUGACUAUUACUACGAUUAGGUCUGAUGGUAUCGCACACCCAGGAUGCCAACAGCGCCAACUCCCGCUGAUUGAGUUCCCACUGUGUGCCAAGAAAGAAGACACUAGGCCUUCAUGUACAUUGUUUCAUUCAUCAACCAGCACCCUAACUAACUCUCUUUUCUUGGUAUUUCCUGUAUGUCAGAAAAGGAAACUGAAUCUUGGGGAGAUUAAGCAACUCUUUCAAGGUCAACCGGGGAGCGGCAGAACCAGAGUUCGAAGGAAACCUUUCUGAAUCUGACGUCUGCCCCUUCUAAAUUAGGACUCUCAUCUAUCAGCCUGUGAGAAAAAAUACAGAAAGCAUCAUUCAGGCAACACAUGAACUCAAGACACUGAGACUUCGCUAACCUUCCUCGCACACAAGGUCCUAAAGGAACUACCACACGCAUGUCCACAUUUGAUGCACAUAACAGACUCUCACCGCAUUGAAAUAAACCCCAGUAUGAUCAUAAUAGCUUUUUUCUUUCAAUUUUUAUUGAACACAAGUAUUCCGACAGAAUGCAAAGUCAAAAUUCUCAGUUAGUACUCAGUAUUUAC
rnacentral:lncRNA from 1 species